rfam:Mustela putorius furo unplaced genomic scaffold scaffold00050, whole genome shotgun sequence.
GUACGUGAAAGUGAUGAAGAAAAAGUUCACUUUGGAAUGGCUAUAAGCAUUUAAAAAAAGACUGAAAACAUAU